UAUCUCUGUAGAGUCUGCAUAUCAAUAAGCGGAGGAAAAGAAACUAACUAAGGAUUCCCUUAGUAACGGCGAGUGAAGCGGGAAGAGCUCAAAUUUGAAAUCUUCAAGGUUUUACCUUGACGAAUUGUAGUUUAAAGAAGUGUUUUCUGUUGAAGUUUUCGGUAAAAGUUCUUUGGAAUAGGACAUCAUAGAGGGUGAGAAUCCCGUAUUUGACCAGUUAUUUCCAGCUGUGUGAUACACUUUCAAAGAGUCGGAUUGUUUGGGAAUGCAGUCCAAAAUGGGUGGUAAAUUUCAUCUAAAGCUAAAUAUUGGCGAGAGACCGAUAGCGAACAAGUACCGUGAGGGAAAGAUGAAAAGAACUUUGAAAAGAGAGUUAAACAGUACGUGAAAUUGUCAAAAGGGAAGCGUUUGACACCAGUGUUGUUUUCUCGAAAAUCAAUUAAAAAUGGCUUGAUUUUGUGUUGUAUUGACCUUAAAAGCUUUCUUCACUUUUUUCAUGUCUUUUUUAAUGCACUUUUCGUUUAACAAGUCAACAUCAGUUUCUUUUGUUGUAAAAAGGUCAUUGGAAGGUGGCUUUCUUUUCGGAGAAAGUGUUUAUAGCCUUUGACUUCUGCAAUCGGAGAGACUGAGGUCUGCAGCGUAGAUCCUUCUGGAUUAGAUUCAUUUGUGCUAAGUUACAACCGUUUAUAGACAACUUGUUGACUAUAUUCGAUCCUGUAGCUUACUCGCUUAUGUAAUUUUACCUACGCUUAGGAUGUUGAUAUGCAUGACUGAUAU
rnacentral:rRNA from 1 species